rnacentral:rRNA from 1 species
CCUACGGGUGGCUGCAGUGGGGAAUAUUGCACAAUGGGGGAAACCCUGAUGCAGCGACGCCGCGUGAGUGAAGAAGCGUUUCGGCGCGUAAAGCUCUAUCAGCAGGGAAGAAAAACGCGAGGCGCGGACGGUACCUGACCAAGAAGCCCCGGCUAACUACGUGCCAGCAGCCGCGGUAAUACGUAGGGGGCAAGCGUUAUCCGGAUUUACUGGGUGUAAAGGGAGCGUAGACGGCAUGGCAAGUCUGAAGUGAAAGCCCGGGGCUCAACCCCGGGACUGCUUUGGAAACUGUUUGGCUGGAGUGCAGGAGAGGUAAGUGGAAUUCCUAGUGUAGCGGUGAAAUGCGUAGAUAUUAGGAGGAACACCAGUGGCGAAGGCGGCUUACUGGACUGUAACUGACGUUGAGGCUCGAAAGCGUGGGGAGCAAACAGGAUUAGAUACCCUGGUAGUC